GUAAUUCCUAAGUAUGUUACAUUGUUGUCUAUUGUCGGGCACUGAUUUUAUUUUUCAGAAUCCUGCAGCUCGCUCGGCCCCGAGAAUCUAAAACAGUUUGGCUCACAACUCCACAGAAAAAGCACGAGGGGAUUGAAGAAGCAAAGAAGAGGAGCGCGUGUGUUCCUUCCAGUACAGCACAGUACGAACAUGUCGCGCGCCUGGCAACCCCAAAUGUUCGUCACAGGAGCUCCCAGGCAGUGAGGUAUGACGUCACAGCGUGGAGUCGUCCAGUGUUUAAUACCAUUAUGACUUAUGAUUCUUUUGAAUGAAUCAAACUAUGAGAGAUUUGAUUUAUUUGAUUCACCAGUGUAUUGAAAUAUA
ensembl:lncRNA